rnacentral:rRNA from 1 species
UACGGGGGGGGCAAGCGUUGUUCGGAAUUACUGGGCGUAAAGGGCUCGUAGGCGGCCAACUAAGUCAGACGUGAAAUCCCUCGGCUUAACCGGGGAACUGCGUCUGAUACUGGAUGGCUUGAGGUUGGGAGAGGGAUGCGGAAUUCCAGGUGUAGCGGUGAAAUGCGCAGAUAUCGGGAGGAACACCUAUGGCGAAGGCAGCUCGCUGGGACGUUACUGACGCUGAGACGCGAAAGCGUGGGGAGCAAACAGG